CAUCUGGCAGCCUGGAAAAGCUCCAGUGGAGGAGAAGUGAACUCAGGUAUGCUCAAAGAGGACAGAGCAGAUUGGACUCCAGCUCCCAGAUGCUGGAGGGUGCUUGCUGGACCCACAGAUGGAGAAGCUGGCAUGGGACGUCCUGGUCUGAGCUGCAGGAGGAGGGCAAUGCCACUCCUGGCCUUCCCCUCAUGGCCUGCUCUGACCCAUGUAAUGGACCUGAAACAUAAUUUGGAAAACCGGCAUGGUAUCACCAGAACUGGACUGGCCGCUGCUUCCAGCAAGGGCAGAGCCACCUUCCUGCCCCUCAGUACAGACCAGGACCACUGGGGCCACCAGAGAUCACUCACGGGAGGGCUGAGACCCAGCCAGCCUGCCAUGGUUGACAGGUAUCCCGGGCUGGGCUAGCUCUGUGCAGGGCAGUCAGGCCUUGCUCUGCAGGUGGGGUUUCCUCGUGCUUAGGAACCCCUGAGCUGACUGGCCUGACACACCGGCUACCUUCUUGAACCUGCCACCUCUUGCUCUUGAAGGGGUCCCCCCGCCCCCACCCCAGGCUGGCUGGGCUCUCUCUAGGCCAGUGUCAAUCUCCUGAACUGAAUGAGUGAGUGAGAGCCACCCACUGUACAGGCAGGAGAGAGGCCUGAAUUUGCCCAGGGCAGCCAGGGGCUGGGCUCUCCCAGGCACCUCCAGCAUCUAGCUGCUCUGCCCACAUGGAUCUCGCAGCCCCAGCUUGGCCACCACGUCCUGCCCAGGCCCUGCCCUACCCUCGCCAGCACUCCCCACCCCAUCCAGGAUGCUCAACUCAGCAGUCCCUUCCUGGCCUCUCCCUGCCUCCCCAGAGACCCCCUGGGCAGGGGCCCGGCCUCUCUCUGCCAGUGGUGCCAGGCCCCCUGCUCCUGCCCUCUUCUG
rnacentral:lncRNA from 1 species